rnacentral:tRNA from 1 species
UGCUUGGUGGUGUAACGGUAGCACAACGGAUUCUGGUUCCGUUUGUCUAGGUUCGAAUCCUAGCCGGGCAG